rnacentral:rRNA from 1 species
CCUACGGGGGGCAGCAGUGGGGAAUAUUGCACAAUGGGGGAAACCCUGAUGCAGCGACGCCGCGUGAGUGAAGAAGUAUUUCGGUAUGUAAAGCUCUAUCAGCAGGGAAGAAGUUGACAGUACCUGAGUAAGAAGCCCCGGCUAACUACGUGCCAGCAGCCGCGGUAAUACGUAGGGGGCAAGCGUUAUCCGGAUUUACUGGGUGUAAAGGGGGCGUAGACGGCAGUGCAAGUCUGAGGUGAAAGCCCCGGGCUUAACCCGGGAACUGCUUUGGA